rnacentral:rRNA from 1 species
UACAGAGGGUGCAAGCGUUGUUCGGAAUUAUUGGGCGUAAAGCGCGUGUAGGCGGCUUUGCAAGUCGGGUGUGAAAGCCCUCAGCUCAACUGAGGAAGUGCGCCCGAAACUGCAGAGCUUGAGUACCGGAGAGGAUGGCGGAAUUCCCCAAGUAGAGGUGAAAUUCGUAGAUAUGGGGAGGAACACCGGUGGCGAAGGCAGCCAUCUGGACGGAUACUGACGCUGAGACGCGAAAGCGUGGGUAGCAAACAGG